rnacentral:rRNA from 2 species
GACCUCAAAUCAGGUAGGACU